UAAUACGUAGGUGGCAAGCGUUACUCGGAAUCACUAGGCGUAAAGCGCAGGUAGGCGGUUCGGUAAGUCUGUUGUGAAAGCUCCCGGCUCAACUGGGAGAGGUCAACGGAAACUGCCGGGCUUGAGUGUGGUAGAGGUAGCUGGAAUUCCCGGUGUAGCGGUGAAAUGCGUAGAUAUCGGGAGGAAUACCUAUGGCGAAAGCAGGCUACUGGACCAUCACUGACGCUGAUCUGCGAAAGCUAGGGGAGCAAACAGGAUUAGAUACCCUGGUAGUCCUAGCCCUAAACGAUGCUCAUUAGGUGUGGUAGGUAUCGACCCCUUCCGCGCCGAAGCUAACGCAUUAAAUGAGCCGCCUGGGGAGUACGGCCGCAAGGUUG
rnacentral:rRNA from 1 species